GACGAACCGUGCGAAUGUUGUUCGGAAUCACUGGGCUUAAAGGGCGCGUAGGCGGGCUGUCAAGUCUGGGGUGAAAUGCCGCGGCUCAACCGUGGAACUGCCUUAGAUACUGACGGCCUCGAGGAAGGUAGGGGCAUGCGGAACUGUAGGUGGAGCGGUGAAAUGCGUUGAUAUCUACAGGAACUCCGGUGGCGAAAGCGGCGUGCUGGACCUUUUCUGACGCUGAGGCGCGAAAGCUAGGGGAGCAAACGGG
rnacentral:rRNA from 1 species